AUGGCGCUCCCGCUCCCGCCGUGGUUUGGUCCGCGCGCAGUCCUUGAGGAGGUCGAGCUGCUCGUCCUCAACGAGGACAACAACGCCGCUCAGGGGUGGACCUGGCUACAGAUCAGGGACUCCCUGAUGCAGACACACCAGCAGAACCAGCAGGAGCUGCCACAUGGCUUCAACGCUGCGCUGCGGAAGAGGCUCUCUGAGCUCCUCGAGAGAGGCAAUCUUAUGACGGGAGCCGGAGGGCCGCACAAGCCUCCCUACUUGCCGCCGUGGUUUACUCCGCAGGUGGUACUGCAGGCGGUGGAGCAGCUCGACGGCAACAACGCCGGCGGGUCGACCAGGACACGGAUCAGGGAUUCCUUGUUGGAAGCACACCAGCCGCAGCAGCCGCAGCCGCCGCCACGCUUCGUGGCCGUGCUGCGGACGAUGCUCUCUGUGCUGCGCCAGAGAGGCCACCUUGCCGGGGGAGCCAAUGGCUCGCAGCACUACACGCGGCAGCAGGCUCCAGCCCUCGUCCAGCCCAAUCCCGUUCACAUCCCCGACUUUCUCUGGGGCUAUUAUCUCGGCUACGAGCUGGGCUUUGAUGAUUGCGCCAAACUGGACGAGGUGAUAGACGACGCCAUGGCUGAUAUGGCUUGA
rnacentral:rRNA from 1 species